ACGGCCUCUCCCUCUCUUCCUCCAGGGUGGCAAUGAGAGGAGGAGAGGAAAAAACAAAGGGAAAGGGAGGGCAAACACAGCACGGAGCUCGGCCGCGGGACCCAGCUGGCUCCACGUCCUGGCCCACGGCCGGCAGUGAGGCGAUGAUUUGGCCCAGUGGCCCUUGAACCACAGGUAAGGGAAAUGAUGGGCAGACACCCAGGAGACCCCUCCCAGCAGCCCCUCUUCCUCUGCCCUGCUCCCAGGAUCCCACAGAAAAGCUGGAAGAUGAGGAACAAUGCUCUGUGCCAUCCUGGCAGCUGUGGGAUGAGGGAGGUGGGAAGCACCCCAGAAAUCACUGCAAGGCAGGCGCUGAUGGAUUGCUGGGUUUCACCAUUUCCAGCAACGAGGAGGCAGCCCCAGGUUCCUGUCCCAGGGAUGGAAGAGUGAGUGGGAUGAUCAGGUCUGAUAAGAGGGUGCAGAAGGAAUAUGAUCUGUAAUAUCAAGAGGGGAUCCAGAAAUGAGACUGAAGGGCACCUGGGGCUCUGCUGCUGCCGGAUAGUUUAUGUGAUCUGCAGACAAAGCCCCGGGAGGGUUUGUCUGAGAGCAAACAGCACUGCUAUUUGCCAUGAGUAAUGCAGGGGGACAAGACAGGGAGUUGCUAGGAACCACCUGGCUGAUGUGGGGAGGGAGCAAAGCAGCGGCCCCACCACUGCUCAGUGUUUCUGAGGGCUCUGUAGAGCCACGUAGUGCCACUGCUGAGUGUCAGCAUCGCCCGCACAGGAAUGGGUGAUGCUGGAGAACGGCAUCAGCAUCGUAUCCUGCCUGGGGUGCAGUGUUGGGCACA